UCCAGGUCGGGGGUCCGUACGAUGCAAAAAAAUCGCGAUGAGUCCACCACGACUCCAAGCAGCUGCGGACGCGCCGCUCUAACCGGAGAUCCGUUAAGAGUCCGCCGCCCCCAUCUCAGCGCCUGAGUCAGCCGUUCUCUCCCCGUGCUCGCAGCCACUGGUUUCCGCGGGUCUAGGGUUCGUGGAGGCAGCGUGGAGCUUAGGGUUUCGGCGGGAUGAGCUACCGGAAGGGGUUGAAGGUUUGGGUGGAGAAGGGGGAAGGGUGGGUAGAGGCGGUGGUGACGGAAGCGAAGGACCACGCCGUCGCCGUGCUCACGAGCCAGCGGGAAAAGGCACGGCAGAGGACGAUGGCAACUGUCCAGCGCACACUUCAGGCAAUGGAUGAGGACAACAUCAGAGAUGAGUCUAGAACUGGAAGGCUCGUCGUCUUGGCGGCGCUGGCCGCCGGCGCCAUCAGCAUCGGCAAGCGCAUGCCCCUGCUGGCGCCAUCUCCCCCGUCAUCUUGGCGGCGCUGGCCGCCGGUGCCAUCAGCGUCGGCAAGACUGUCAUAGAUGAGAUUUUCAUGUUCUGAAGACUGAAUUCAAGAUGAUGGGAUGCUUGUGAUAUCGACAGUUCCUGGUUCUCCACCAAAGCUGUGCAUCAAGGCUGUUGCAUUAGAAAACUUCUGUCCAAGAGCAUUUUCAUUGCUGUCGAUCGCCGGACUAUCUGGGUUUUGCUAGGCCAUGCAGUGUCCUAGAAGGCCUAUUAAUUCAAUUUGCAGCAGACUGAAAGCUAAAGAAGUCCGUAUUAGAGUCUGGGCUCAUCAAUUAGCUGCUCAUUCUCCAGUACUUCAUUCCCUUGGUCCCCUACAACUCCGACCUGACUGGCUAAUUGCUGCUGGAGAAAGGAACAAAGGAGAAUGGAGCAUGUAGUGGAUGCGCCAAUGCAGGUUUCAGUUCCUCAAGUAUAUGUUCCUAUCGGACCCCUUUGUUCCUCAAGUCCAGAUGCAACCAGGGCAGCCAUCGAUGUCUGCGAACAGGGUUUAUUAUCAAAGAUCUUUGGUUAGGGAGAUUGAAGCCCGGUUAAAAGCCAAGUGUGACACAUUAGCUGAUCUAUUUGCUAUGGAUGAAAGAUUGUUUUGAGCACAUUUUUAGUAAGGUCUCGUUAAGCGCCGCGUUUGAGCACCAUGUCCUUCCCUGGAUGCACAGAAGCUACUGACUUCGUGGUUACAAUCGCCCUUUGCUUUACCUCCUCCCAUGAUGGAAAGGUUGAGGUGAGAAUGGAACUAUUGAUGGCCAAGGCAUUGUGUGGUGGGAUAUGUGGAAGAAAGGUACACUGCCCUAUACAAGACCUCACCAAUUGAUCUAUUUAUGUGGUGGGAUAUGUGGAAGAAAGGUUUGUGAUGGAGGUGAUAAAAACUUUGUGGUGCGAAAGGGCCUCUAGCGUAAUGGUUAAGGCUUCCAAGUAGCAACUCCAGGUCCCAGAUUAUUGCUCUUCGAGCUAUCACGUGGUGGUGGAGCUAUCAAUUCAGUUGAUGACUUGACUGAAAAUUGUCUAGGCUCAUCUGAUCUUGUCUAUGAGUAUGUUCUCGUAGAAGAAAAGUACACAUUUGUGGGGAAUGUGAAAAAUCCUUGCUCUUGUACUAUACUGAUUAAAGGAUUCAAGGAUGAUGUUCUGUUAAGAACACAGUUGAGGAUGAAGCAGUUGUGUUGUUAUCAUCCGUAAAUUUCUUUGUCCAGGAAUUAGGAAGAAUAAAUUUGUGUUGAUACUGUGAAGGUACCAGGCCGACACAAAUUUAUUUGAUAAAAUACGUGUUCCCAAAUGUGUGUAUGUACGAUCAGGAUCGAAUAAUUUAUGUCCUGUCCCAAUGUACAGAGGCACUAAGGAAACCUGUCGCGGUUCACAGCGAACGGGUCUUGAACUCUUGGCUCGCUCAUUUUAAUAUUAUUAUGUAAAUUUCCUAUCAA